rnacentral:rRNA from 1 species
ACGGAGGAUGCAAGCGUUAUCCGGAUUUAUUGGGUUUAAAGGGUGCGCAGGCGGAAUGAUAAGUCAGUGGUGAAAUCUCUCGGCUCAACUGUGAAACUGCCAUUGAUACUGCUGGUCUGGAGUACGCUUGAAGUAGCUGGAAUGUGUCAUGUAGCGGUGAAAUGCUUAGAUAUGACACAGAACACCGACGGCGAAGGCAGCUUACUAACUCGUUACUGACGCUGAGGCACGAAAGCGUGGGGAUCAAACAG